rnacentral:rRNA from 1 species
UACGUAGGGUGCGAGCGUUAAUCGGAAUUACUGGGCGUAAAGCGUGCGCAGGCGGUCUGUUAAGACCGAUGUGAAAUCCCCGGGCUUAACCUGGGAACUGCAUUGGUGACUGGCAGGCUUUGAGUGUGGGCAGAGGGAGGUAGGAAUUCCACGUGUAGCAGUGAAAUGCGUAGAGAUGUGGAGGAAUACCGAUGGCGAAGGCAGCCUCCUGGGCCAACACUGACGCUCAUGCACGAAAGCGUGGGGAGCAAACAGG